UUUCCCUACGGGACGCAGCAGUGAGGAAUAUUGGUCAAUGGCCGCAGGGCUGAACCAGCCAAGUCGCGUGAGGGAUGACGGUCCUAUGGAUUGUAAACCUCUUUUGUCAGGGAGCAAAGGGCGCCACGUGUGGCGCUUUGCGAGUACCUGAAGAAAAAGCAUCGGCUAACUCCGUGCCAGCAGCCGCGGUAAUACGGAGGAUGCGAGCGUUAUCCGGAUUUAUUGGGUUUAAAGGGUGCGUAGGCGGAUUAGUAAGUCAGCGGUAAAAAUGCGGUGCUCAACGCCGUAUCGCCGUUGAAACUGCG
rnacentral:rRNA from 1 species